UUUUUUUUGUAUUUUUGAACAUUUGAAGAUCUCCUGACAUUUUUUCGCAAUUGUUUUUCUCAAAAUUUUCUUU
rnacentral:sRNA from 1 species